UUCUAUUGGGCGCCAGCGUACAUAAUUAUCUUUUGCUUCAAUGGAAAACAAUGAUUUCAAGAUGACUUACUAAUAGGCACACAAAUCUAUCUUUUAGAUGUGAAUCAUUUUUUGUGUGUGUGUGUGUGUGUGUGUGUGUGUGUGUGUGUGUGUGUG